rnacentral:rRNA from 1 species
GAUGAACGCUAGCUACAGGCUUAACACAUGCAAGUCGCGGGGCAGCAUGGGGGUUGCUUGCAAUCCCCGAUGGCGACCGGCGCACGGGUGAGUAACGCGUAUCCAACCUGCCCUUCACCACGGGAUAGCCCGGCGAAAGUCGGACUAAUACCGUAUGUUGUCCAUUGACGGCAUCCGAUUUGGACGAAAGGUUUGGCGGUGAGGGAUGGGGAUGCGUCCGAUUAGCUGGACGGCGGGGUGACGGCCCACCGUGGCGACGAUCGGUAGGGGUUCUGAGAGGAAGGUCCCCCACACUGGAACUGAGACACGGUCCAGACUCCUACGGGAGGCAGCAGUGAGGAAUAUUGGUCAAUGGGCGUAAGCCUGAACCAGCCAAGUAGCGUGCAGGAUGACGGCCCUAUGGGUUGUAAACUGCUUUUAUGCGGGGAUAAAGUGGCCCACGUGUGGGUUUUUGCAGGUACCGCAUGAAUAAGGACCGGCUAAUUCCGUG